UACGGAGGGUGCAAGCGUUAUCCGGAUUCACUGGGUUUAAAGGGUGCGUAGGUGGGUCUGUAAGUCAGUGGUGAAAUCUCCGAGCUUAACUUGGAAACUGCCAUUGAUACUAUAGAUCUUGAAUAUUGUGGAGGUCAGCGGAAUAUGUCAUGUAGCGGUGAAAUGCUUAGAGAUGACAUAGAACACCAAUUGCGAAGGCAGCUGGCUACACAUAUAUUGACACUGAGGCACGAAAGCGUGGGGAUCGAAACAGGAGUUAGUAUAACCCC
rnacentral:rRNA from 1 species